rnacentral:rRNA from 1 species
UGGGGAAUAUUGCACAAUGGGCGCAAGCCUGAUGCAGCCAUGCCGCGUGUAUGAAGAAGGCCUUCGGGUUGUAAAGUACUUUCAGUCGGGAGGAAGGUGGUAAGGUUAAUAACCUUGGCAAUUGACGUUACCGACAGAAGAAGCACCGGCUAACUCCGUGCCAGCAGCCGCGGUAAUACGGAGGGUGCAAGCGUUAAUCGGAAUUACUGGGCGUAAAGCGAACGCAGGCGGUUGAUUGAGUCAGAUGUGAAAUCCCCGGGCUUAACCCGGGAAUUGCAUCUGAUACUGGUCAGCUAGAGUCUUGUAGAGGGGGGUAGAAUUCCAUGUGUAGCGGUGAAAUGCGUAGAGAUGUGGAGGAAUACCGGUGGCGAAGGCGGCCCCCUGGACAAAGACUGACGCUCAGGUGCGAAAGCGUGGGGAGCAAACAGG